UACGAAGGGAGCUAGCGUUGUUCGGAAUCACUGGGCGUAAAGCGCACGUAGGCGGAUCGUUUAGUCAGGGGUGAAAUCCCGGAGCUCAACUUCGGAACUGCCUUUGAUACUGGCGAUCUCGAGUCCGAUAGAGGUGGGUGGAAUUCCUAGUGUAGAGGUGAAAUUCGUAGAUAUUAGGAAGAACACCGGUGGCGAAGGCGGCCCACUGGCCCGGUACUGACGCUGAGGCGCGAAAGCGUGGGGAGCAAACAGG
rnacentral:rRNA from 1 species